AAUGAACGUUGGCGGCGUGGAUUAGGCAUGCAAGUCGAGCGGGUGUAGCAAUACACCAGCGGCGAAAGGGAGAGUAAUACGUGGAUACCUGCCCCCGGGCUGGGAUAGCUUCGGGAAACUGAAGGUAAUACCAGAUAACGUCUCCGGACCAAAGGUGUGAUUCCGUCCGGGGAGGGUCC
rnacentral:rRNA from 1 species